rnacentral:rRNA from 1 species
AUGAUGUCAAGUCAGCAUGACCUUUAUAUCCAGGGCUACACACACGCUACAAUGGUCUGUACAAUUGGUUGCCAAGCCGCGAGGCGGAGCCAAUCCGUAAAGCAGGCCUCAGUUCAGAUUGCAGUCUGCAACUCGACUGCAUGAAGCCGGAGUUGCUAGUAACCGCAGGUCAGCAAUACUGCGGUGAAUACGUUCCCGGGUCUU